rnacentral:rRNA from 1 species
UAGGGAAUCUUCCACAAUGGACGAAAGUCUGAUGGAGCAACGCCGCGUGAGUGAAGAAGGAUUUCGGUUCGUAAAACUCUGUUGUAAGGGAAGAACAAGUACAGUAGUAACUGGCUGUACCUUGACGGUACCUCAUUAGAAAGCCACGGCUAACUACGUGCCAGCAGCCGCGGUAAUACGUAGGUGGCAAGCGUUGUCCGGAAUUAUUGGGCGUAAAGCGCGCGCAGGCGGUCCUUUAAGUCUGAUGUGAAAGCCCACGGCUCAACCGUGGAGGGUCAUUGGAAACUGGGGGACUUGAGUGCAGAAGAGGAAAGUGGAAUUCCAAGUGUAGCGGUGAAAUGCGUAGAGAUUUGGAGGAACACCAGUGGCGAAGGCGACUUUCUGGUCUGUAACUGACGCUGAGGCGCGAAAGCGUGGGGAGCAAACAGG